GAUGAACGCUGGCGGCGUGCCUAAUACAUGCAAGUCGAGCGAACGGACGAGAAGCUUGCUUCUCUGAUGUUAGCGGCGGACGGGUGAGUAACACGUGGAUAACCUACCUAAAAGACUGGGAAAACUUCGGGAAACCGGAGCUAAUACCGGAUAAUAUUUUGAACCGCAUGGUUCAAAAGUGAAAGACGGUCUUGCUGUCACUUAUAGAUGGAUCCGCGCUGCAUUAGCUAGUUGGUAAGGUAACGGCUUACCAAGGCAACGAUGCAUAGCCGACGUGAGAGGGGGAUCGGCCACACUGGAACUGAGACACGGUCCAGACUCCUACGGGAGGCAGCAGUAGGGAAUCUUCCGCAAUGGGCGAAAGCCUGACGGAGCAACGCCGCGUGAGUGAUGAAGGUCUUCGGAUCGUAAAACUCUGUUAUUAGGGAAGAACAUAUGUGUAAGUAACUGUGCACAGCUUGACGGUACCUAAUCAGAAAGCCACGGCUAACUACGUG
rnacentral:rRNA from 1 species